GGGUGACUGGGCCACAAUAUCUGUCUCCCCAUUGAACGUCAGGGUUGAUUUAGUCAAUGCGGCUUGUUUGGCAGAUGUCCCCCUUCCUCCC
rnacentral:sRNA from 1 species